rnacentral:rRNA from 1 species
GACGAACGCUGGCGGCGUGCUUAACACAUGCGAGUCGAACGGAAAGGCCCUGCUUUUGUGGGGUGCUCGAGUGGCGAACGGGUGAGUAACACGUGAGUAACCUGCCCUUGACUUUGGGAUAACUUCAGGAAACUGGGGCUAAUACCGGAUAGGAGCUCCUGCUGCAUGGUGGGGGUUGGAAAGUUUCGGCGGUUGGGGAUGGACUCGCGGCUUAUCAGCUUGUUGGUGGGGUAGUGGCUUACCAAGGCUUUGACGGGUAGCCGGCCCGAGAGGGUGACCGGCCACAUUGGGACUGAGAUACGGCCCAGACUCCUACGGGAGGCAGCAGUGGGGAAUAUUGCACAAUGGGCGGAAGCCUGAUGCAGCAACGCCGCGUGCGGGAUGACGGCCUUCGGGUUGUAAACCGCUUUCGCCUGUGACGAAGCGUGAGUGACGGUAAUAGGUAAAGAAGCACCGGCUAACUACGUG